rnacentral:rRNA from 1 species
UCGAGAGGCUUCGGCAAUGGACGAAAGUCUGACGGAGCGACGCCGCGUGAUGGAUGAAGUCCCUCUGGGACGUAAACAUCUUUUAUGAGGGAGAAAGUUUAUUGAUAGUACCUCACGGAUAAGGGGUUGCUAAACUCGUGCCAGCAGCAGCGGUAAUACGAGUGCCCCGAGCGUUAUCCGGAAUCAUUGGGCGUAAAGGGUGUGUAGGUGGCAUUGUUAGUCACACGUUAAACCCUGGGGCUUAACCCCAGAUCUGCGUGUGAUACGGCAAAGCUAGAGGAUGGCAGGGAUGUAUGGAACUCAUGGAGUAGGGGUGAAAUCCGUUGAUAUCAUGGGGAACACCAAAAGCGAAGGCAGUACAUUGGGCCACUCCUGACACUGAAACACGAAAGCGUAGGUAGCGAAUGGGAUUAGAUACCCACGUAGUCCCUGAGCGGGCUGGCAAGGCGCAU